GGAACUGGGCGCAGCCUGAUCCAGCCAUACCGCGUGGGUGAAGAAGGCCUUCGGGUUGUAAAGCGCCUUUUGUUGGGAAAGAAAUCCAGCUGGCUAAUACCCGGUUGGGAUGACGGUACCCAAAGAAUAAGCACCGGCUAACUUCGUGCCAGCAGCCGCGGUAAUACGAAGGGUGCAAGCGUUACUCGGAAUUACUGGGCGUAAAGCGUGCGUAGGUGGUCGUUUAAGUCCGUUGUGAAAGCCCUGGGCUCAACCUGGGAACUGCAGUGGAUACUGGGCGACUAGAGUGUGGUAGAGGGUAGCGGAAUUCCUGGUGUAGCAGUGAAAUGCGUAGAGAUCAGGAGGAACAUCCAUGGCGAAGGCAGCUACCUGGACCAACACUGACACUGAGGCACGAAAGCGUGGGGAGCAAACAGGAUUAGAUACCCUGGUAGUCCACGCCCUAAACGAUGCGAACUGGAUGUUGGGUGCAAUUUGGCACGCAGUAUCGAAGCUAACGCGUUAAGUUCGCCGCCUGGGGAGUACGGUCGCAAGACUGAAACUCAAGGAAUUUGACGGA
rnacentral:rRNA from 1 species